ensembl:lncRNA PPIEL peptidylprolyl isomerase E like (pseudogene)
AGAGACGGGGUCUUGCUCUGUCAUCCAGGCUGGAUUGCAGUGUCAUUGAUCAUAGCUCAAGCGGUCUUCCUGCCUCAGCCUCCCAAAGUGCUGUGAUUACAGGUGUGAGCCACUGCACCUGGCCUCUUCAUAUCUUACAACGAAAAGCACCAAGGAUUCUCUUUUGUUGAAUUUGAGUUGGCAGAGGAUGUUGCAGCAGCUGUCAACAACAUGUUUGGUCAGAUGAAGACUGGGUGGAGAAGUUUGCUGGGAAGAGGAUAAAGAGGAAGGUGGUUGAGACUUCCCAAAGCAGAAAGCCAGGAGGUAAGAAUGACAGUUCAUGCUUCCAUAGGAGAGGCUGCUGCUUUCCACAUAGGGAAUUUCUGAGGUGAGUGGUGUUGGGUGAAUUUAAAGGAGAAGUUUUGGCUUUCUUAUCUAGGUGAGAAAUAUCUUAUGUGGGCUCAGGUAUUUGUGAUUGCUGCUGAGCAAGGCGGAUAUCUGAGGUGAGAAAGGAUGGUGAGUACUCUGCAUCACCAGCAUCCGCUAUCCUCCUAGUCUUUGGCAGCAGGCUCACUGUCUUCCUGUUCUUGCCCUAAUUCCAAGGGGGCAGAAUCAUGUAGAGGUCCCUUCCCCUCAGUCAGUACACAGGCACAAGGCUCUCCCUGCCCUCUCCACUUGCUCCUGCUUCUCCAUCAGGCCAUCCUGACUGUUGCUUCCCAGGAUAAUUUAAGGGCUCCUCCUCCUCAGUCCACCCUUUGAGCAGUGAUAUUUCCCUGAAUUCCUUCCUUAGCCCUCAGCACCUCUCUCCACAUUAUCCUUAUGCCAUGUCAGCCCCUUCUAUCUCCUAAGGUUAUAACGAUCUUUCAUUGUCCGAAUGAUAUUCUGAUCUCUAUCCCUAGCCCUGACCUUUCACAUAUUUCUGUUUGGGUGUCUUAUAGGCACCAUAAAUAAAGCAUAUCCCAAAUGGGUUUCAUCACCUUUCUGGUCUUUUUUUAUGCCCAAUCUUAGUUCACUUUGCCAUCUUCAACAUAGUCACACCCAAACCAGAUUCCUUGGUGCCAGCUUAGAUCCCUCACUGUAUUUCAUACCUAAUGCAUUACCAUACCCUGCUAAUUUUAUCUUUUAAAUCUUGCGUUUCUCCUCUCCAGUUUUCUUCUGCCACUGUUGUCUUGGCUGAGGCCUUAUCCUCUCUCCUGUGAAUAAUUGGAGUAGCUUCCUAACUGGUCUCCCUGCCCCAGGCCUGUUUUCCUCCUAUCCUUAGCAGCCAGAGGGAGCUUUCUAAAGGGCAGAUCUGACUAUCUCACUCUCCUUAAGCAUUCUAGGGACUCCCUUGAUUUAUAGGAUUGAGUCCAGCCUCCAUCAAAAGGGACAGAAGACCUCUCUAUGUUCUGAUUCCUGCUUAUGUCUCCAUAUUUUAUCUCCAUUUUAUAUUCUAGGAAACAAGAGUUUGUAGAUACCUGUAAAUCUCUGUUUUGAUGUAAGUCAUUCCUCUGCCUGCAGUGUCCUUUUCCAAUUUAUUUUAUGUGGCUAAUGCCUGCUCAUUUCUCAUAGCGCAGCCCAUUUACUGCCUUCUCCAGGAAGCUUUUCUGAAUCCUCCAGUGAGUAAGGGAGAGCCCACUGCUAAAAAAGGCCUAGUCAAAUCCUCAGGUGUACAUGGACAUCAAGAUUGGGAACAAGCCGGCUGGCUGCAUCCAAACCCUCCUGCGUUCCGACGUCGUGCCCAUGACCACAGAGAAUUUUCUCUACAUGUGCACCCAUUUAAAGGACUCGGCUUCAAGGGAAGCAGCUUCCACCGCAUUAUCCCCCAGUUCAUUUGCCAGGGCAGUGAUUUCACAAACCACGGUGGCACCAGGGGUCUGCGCAGGCAUGGCACUAAGUGUCCCAUGGCACAUUUGGCCCUCAUGGAGGCCUCAAAAGGGCAGGACCAGCACCCUCUUCUACGGAGGAAGGAACGGGCACAGCAGGGCCCGAUCCAGAUGAGAAGGGUGGCUGCAGUAGGGCUGGGCGGGCUGACUCAGUGGCAGCCGCAGGCCUUGACCACCAUGUUGCGGUGCUUGCGCAGGAUGACGUUGUUGCUGCUGUCAUAGUAGAGCACAGAGGUGGCGCUCAGCUUGACUUGCGGAUCCUGCUCCCCUUCCCACUUCUGCACUUGGGGGUCUAAUGAGGCCUCAGUGGAACAUAGAAUUCCUCCCGCCCUGACAUCAUAGCUCCCGCCUGGGAGGCCUCCUGGAUGACUCCUUUCGCCUCCUCCCUUCCCUGAGAGCAGCCCCUGGCUCAACCUCCACCUCCGUGCUGCCUCGGACCACCUGCCCAGUCGAGCUGCCAUCACCUGCCAGGGUGAGCCACUGCGCCUGAUCAAGGCAUCACCGUUGAACCUCCUAAGAGGAAAACAUAAGGCUGUGCAAUACCAGGAACUGGGAUUCUAGGUUGCCCCAGACACCAAGGCAUCAAAAGCCAGGGGAUCCAGAGAAAACACAGACAGCCAAGAGAGAAACUGCGGGAAAAAGCCAAAAGGUUGAGAGCCACACCAUCUAGAAGCUUCCUGCCUGUGGUGCGGCACAGGUGGAAACAAGGAGAGUCAGCAAUUACCAGCCAGCCAAGGUCCUGGAAGCUGACGUAGAGCUCGUGCCGACGGCAGACCUGCCGGCCGUGGGAGCCGCGGACGUCAUCUGCAGGGACAGAAGGGGCAAGGUCUUUUCUGGGGUUCCUGCUGUGUGCAGCUACUAUGGGGUACCAGGGUGGGGGAUGCCCUGAUGAG